UUGUGCUUGAUCUAACCAUGUGGCCCCGCCUACUGUAACAUCACAUGGUUCCGUCAAGCGCCAGGG
ensembl:miRNA